rnacentral:rRNA from 1 species
UACGUAGGGACCAAGCGUUGUUCGGAUUUACUGGGCGUAAAGGGCGCGUAGGCGGCGUAGUAAGUCACUUGUGAAAUCUCUGAGCUUAACUCAGAACGGCCAAGUGAUACUGCUGUGCUAGAGUGCAGAAGGGGCAAUCGGAAUUCUUGGUGUAGCGGUGAAAUGCGUAGAUAUCAAGAGGAACACCUGAGGUGAAGACGGGUUGCUGGGCCAACACUGACGCUGAGGCGCGAAAGCCAGGGGAGCAAACAGG